rnacentral:lncRNA from 7 species
AAUCUGCUCCAUCCCUUCCUCUCCUGGAGAAGCAGAGAGCAGCUUUCAUCUCCAAAAUACAGAAAGCACUGGAGCAGCUCCCUCCCCUGUGCUCCCUCCUUCCUCUGAGUGGAGCUGGUAGCCUUAAGGGAAAGAAAAACCAGGAAACCACAGGCUGGAGUCUCAGGUGCGGCCAAAGGAAGGUGGUGGAAACGUUCCAGCCAGGAAAUAAAUCCAGCCAAGCCAUAAAAUGCUGCACUCAGACACUUUUCCUGACACUACUGUGGGCUUCUGCACUUUAUCCAUGCUGCCAGCCUUGCCACAUAUAAAAUUGAGCCACUACGUGGGGAAAGGAGCCCAAGGGACCUCCUGCAGAGACAGCCCUGGACAGCUCUGCCCCAACAGCAGAGCCAUGCCCAGAACUGGUGGCUUUGCUGCGUCUCAGAUUUCUGCUGCAGCAGAGAUGAGAACCCGGCUGGAGCACAGCGAUGACCUUACAGAAGCCAAAUCAAGCACCGUUUCUCAGCUAUGUUUCACCAGCAGACCUUUCCAAAUAACUGAUACAUCUUCGACCACUUCUUGUAUACACCUGGAGCUGCUCGGAAAUAAGCUCUCGCUGCUUUUUGCUACAGACACAUCAUCACUUCAGAACAUCAAAAUAAAGCACCCAAAGCUUCAGAAACACUUAUUGCAAAUAAUCUCAGGCAGCUUCACUGCCAGAAGAAAGGCGGCGUGAUGUUUAUCAGAAAACUGAGUUGAUAUGGAGGACCUUUAGCAUCUCCAGAUGAAAGCAAUCACUGCACAAACGCAGCGAGCCCUCAGAGGAAGGUAUUUGCCUUCCCCAAAGCUCAGCCCUGGCUCGGCGUGCCCCAGCAAUGCAAACCUGAGAGCAGCCCAUUCACCAGCUCUACAAUGAGUUCUUUUUCUGUUGAGGUUUUCCAUUUUUGCCUCAUUGCAGG